AGCGAACGCUGGCGGCAGGCUUAACACAUGCAAGUCGAACGCCCCGCAAGGGGAGUGGCAGACGGGUGAGUAACACGUGGGAACGUACCCUUUGGUUCGGAAUAACUGGGGGAAACUCAAGCUAAUACCGGAUAAGCCCUUAUGGGGAAAGGUUUACUGCCGAAGGAUCGGCCCGCGUCUGAUUAGCUAGUUGGUGAGGUAAUGGCUGACCAAGGGGACGAUCAGUAGCUGGUCUGUGAGGAUGAUCAGCCACACUGGGACUGAGACACGGCCCAGACUCCUACGGGAGGCAGCGGUGGGGAAUAUUGGACAAUGGGGGCAACCCUGAUCCAGCCAUGCCGCGUGAGUGAUGAAGGCCUUAGGGUUGUAAAGCUCUUUUACCCGGGACGAUAAUGACUGUACCGGGAGAAUAAGCCCCGGCUAACUUCGUGCCAGCAGCCGCAGUAA
rnacentral:rRNA from 1 species